UAGAAGGAUACUAUAGAACCAAAUGGAGUC
rnacentral:piRNA from 1 species